AGUGAACGCUGGCGGUAGGCCUAACACAUGCAAGUCGAACGGCAGCACAGUAAGAGCUUGCUCUUACGGGUGGCGAGUGGCGGACGGGUGAGGAAUACAUCGGAAUCUACUUUUUCGUGGGGGAUAACGUAGGGAAACUUACGCUAAUACCGCAUACGACCUACGGGUGAAAGCAGGGGAUCUUCGGACCUUGCGCGAUUGAAUGAGCCGAUGUCGGAUUAGCUAGUUGGCGGGGUAAAGGCCCACCAAGGCGACGAUCCGUAGCUGGUCUGAGAGGAUGAUCCGCCACACUGGAACUGAGACACGGUCCAGACUCCUACGGGAGGCAGCAGUGGGGAAUAUUGGACAAUGGGCGCAAGCCUGAUCCAGCCAUACCGCGUGGGUGAUGAAGGCCUUCGGGUUGUAAAGCCCUUUUGUUGGGAAAGAAAAGCAGCAGGUUAAUACCCCGCUGUUCUGACGGUACCCAAAGAAUAAGCACCGGCUAACUUCGUG
rnacentral:rRNA from 1 species